CAAUAGCGUAUAUUAAAGUUGUUGCAGUUAAAAAGCUCGUAGUUGGAUUUCUUGGAGGGUGCCAAUGUCCGCUACGGCGUGCGCAGCGGCGCCCUUCCAUCCUUCUGUUAACGCCUCUUGGCAUUCGUUUGCUGGUGGCGGGCUCAGAUAUUUUACCUUGAGAAAAUUAGAGUGUUUCAGGCAGGCUAGGCCGGAAUACAUUAGCAUGGAAUAAUAGAAUAGGACUACGGUCUCUUUGUUGGUUUGAGGGACUGCAGUAAUGAUUAAUAGGGAUAGUUGGGGGCAUUAGUACUUAACUGUCAGAGGUGGAAUUCUCAGAUUUGUUAAAGACUGACUUAUGCGAAAGCAUUUGCCAAGGAUGUUUUCAUUAA
rnacentral:rRNA from 1 species